rnacentral:rRNA from 1 species
AUUGAACGCUGGCGGAAUGCCUUACACAUGCAAGUCGAACGGCAGCACGGGAGCAAUCCUGGUGGCGAGUGGCGAACGGGUGAGUAAUACAUCGGAACGUGCCCAAUCGUGGGGGAUAACGUAGCGAAAGCUACGCUAAUACCGCAUACGAUCUACGGAUGAAAGCAGGGGAUCGCAAGACCUUGCGCGAAUGGAGCGGCCGAUGGCAGAUUAGGAGUUGGUGGGGUAAAGGCUCACCAAGCCUGCGAUCUGUAGCUGGUCUGAGAGGACGACCAGCCACACUGGGACUGAGACACGGCCCAGACUCCUACGGGAGGCAGCAGUGGGGAAUUUUGGACAAUGGGCGCAAGCCUGAUCCAGCCAUUCCGCGUGCAGGAU